CAGAAAUUCUAGCUAGGGCAUGGAACACAAGAAAGCUUGAGCAAAUCAUCAUGGGCAUGCUCAAAGGCUUGGUUAACAAGGGUGACAAUAAGAUGAAUAGCUUUAUAUUAGGAGCAGCUUCUCCACCACGCAGCGGCAGAGGAGGUGUGCUUCUUCCUCAACACAACAUAGCGGCAGCCACGGUGUCCUCUGCCCUCUCCCUCUAUCUACCCUCUUCUGUUCCUUAUCAAAAAAUCAUUUUUUACCUUGUAUAAUACUUCUGAUUUGGACCGAUUUGUGUUUUGGGGGGCAUCAAUUUGGUGCUAACCCUGUCUAUGUGCAGAGAAAAGGAGAAGAAGGGGAUGGAUGAUCAAGGAGCAGAAGAACUAGAAGAAGAAGGGCAAGGGAGGUGGAACGAUAUGAAUGUCCAAGGAGGGUAUAGAAAACCAAUUAGUGUCGGCUGCCUUGAAGGGACCACAAGGAAGAGAGAGAUCAUUGUACAUGACCUGAAGAUGAUAAGGCGCCACUUCCAUGACGACAUCAACAUCACCGUGGUCUGUCUUCAAUGGCACCUGGGGCGACAUCAGAUCAUGGUCGUGGAGCAGCAACUGCACCAGUGACCCUGCCAUGGCGGCGAUAUGGACGGCAUCACCAUAACCACAUUAAUGGUCCAAGCAUGAGGUCUCCGCCGAACGACGGCCAUCCCCCUCCCUCUCUGCGCGCGCGUCCAGGUCAUUGUUGCUUUUGGUGUUACCCUGCGUUCAAAGGGAUCAAGAUGGUGCCUUUCUUUGGGUCUGCAUUUCGUCUACUACUUCUCCCACCCAGCAGUUGCUGGUGUUGCUUCCUGUUGGACAUAGCUCGUUCUCCAGUCUCCACCUUCGAUUUGUGACACAGAUUGGUUUAUUGUGAUGUUGCUUUGAACAAGGAAUGGGUGAUGCUAUACCACUAGGAUGUGUCAUCACCACAUACAUAAUUAGUCCCAGGAAAAAUAUAAAGCAUACCAAGGUGUGCUUGGUCUGCAGUGACGACCUUUGGGCCAACAACACAUGGGCAUUUCAGAGAUAAACUAUUGCAUCAGGCUAAAACAACAGAGUUUGGUUUGAGGUGCUCUCACAAGAUAUCAGAAAUUUGCUUGGAGAAGAUCUGGGACACUCGGGUACAUUAGACCCACGAGGGCAAUGCGAGGGAGGCCAUGCGCUCAAGUGGGAGGCGGAGCUCGCCUCCCCCAAUGACGACGGCUUCGACCUCAAGUGGAUGUGGGAGGCCAAGUCCAAGCCAUGCGCUGCCGGCAAGGUCGAAACCAAGUGGGGCGCCAAGGAAGCCAACGAGGAUGACAAUAAUUCGGCAAGAAAGUGCAUCCAGAUAAAGGAGAUCUCCACCGGCUGCGACGUCCAGAUCGAGGUACUCGGCAGAAAAGAUGAAAUUGUUGUGAUGAAAUAUGGGAUUUCCAGUGCUCCAGUAGCUAAAUGAUGAAAUGUGGGAGUAGAUUCAAGAGAAAGAUUGCAGUAACUUACUCCAGUAGCUUAGAUGGAACUUCGCUGUUUUGGAAUUUCCAGUAGCUUAAGUAUUGCAGUAGAUUUCCAAUAAAAUCUUGCCUGAGUGAUGUUUGCUUGGUUCCUAUGAAUCUUAAUCUUGGAUGUGUGUCUCUGAAUCUUAAUCUGAUGGGUGCUACUAUGAAUAAGGUUAGUUGUUGUUGAUUACUGCAUGAGUGUAUUCUUGUUUUCGCGUUGAAAA